rnacentral:rRNA from 1 species
UACGUAGGGUGCAAGCGUUGUCCGGAAUUAUUGGGCGUAAAGAGCUCGUAGGCGGUUUGGCGCGUCUGCUGUGAAAACGCAAGGCUCAACCUUGCGCCUGCAGUGGGUACGGGCAGACUAGAGUGUGGUAGGGGAGAUUGGAAUUCCUGGUGUAGCGGUGGAAUGCGCAGAUAUCAGGGGGAACACCGAUGGCGAAGGCAGAUCUCUGGGCCGAUACUGACGCUGAGGAGCGAAAGCGUGGGGAGCGAACAGG